rnacentral:rRNA from 1 species
AAAACUGGGGUUAAUUCCCGAUGGGUGAGGAGGCCUGGAAUGGUUCUUCACUGAAAGGGCGCUAGAGGCAUGCUCUCUAACGUUGCCCAAGGAUGGGGCCGCGGCCGAUCAGGUUGUUGGUGAGGUAACGGCUUACCAAGCCUAUAACCGGUACGGGCCGUGAGAGCGGGAGCCCGGAGAUGGGCACUGAGAUAAGGGCCCAGGCCCUACGGGGCGCAGCAGUUACGAAAACUCCGCAAUGCACGAAAGUGUGACGGGGCUACCCCGAGUGCCGUCCGCUGAGGAUGGCUUUUCUCCGCUGUAAGGAGGCGGAGGAAUAAGGAGAGGGCAAGACUGGUGUCAGCCGCCGCGGUAAUACCAGCUCUUCGAGUGGUAGGGGUGAUUAUUGGGCUUAAAGCGUCCGUAGCCGGCCUGGCAAGUCUUCCGUUAAAUCCAGCAACCUAAUUGUUGGGCUGCGGGGGAUACUGUUAGGCUAGGGGGCGGGAGAGGCCGACGGUAUUCUCGGGGUAGGGGUGAAAUCUUAUAAUCCCGGGAGGACCACCAGUGGCGAAGGCUGUCGGCUAGCACGCGCCUGACGGUGAGGGACGAAAGCUGGGGGAGCGAACCGGAUUAGAUACCCGGGUAGUCCCUGCUGUAAACGAUGCGAGCUAGGUGUUGGGGCGGCUACGAGCCGCUUCAGUGCCGCAGCGAAGGCGUUAAGCUCGCCGCCUGGGGAGUACGGCCGCAAGGCUGAAACUUAA